rnacentral:lncRNA from 1 species
ACGAGCGUAUACUAUUGCACACGGAUUAGAUCUAUACUAUUGCACGUGAAGUAUACUAUUGCACGUGAAGGAAACUGAAACAGAUUGGUAUUAGGCAACAAGGUGGACGUAUACUAUUGCACACGGAAUAGUUUCCAGCAUACACUCAUCCGUACCCAACUCAAACUCAAUAACCUUUGGACUAAUAUAAAGGUUGGGGCACACACCCCAAAACGCCCACGGAAUUAACAAAUGCCAUAACACCCAACACCACGCGUAUGAGAUUGAAGGCAGAUCCACACACGCCAGUAUGAAGAUUGAAGGAGAUCCACACAACGCCAUAUUGACACACGCCAAGAACAUCAACUUCAACAACAAGUAGACUCCACACGAAUCGAAGGGGUGACAUACUGCAGGACGCCCAGCACAUCGAACAAGGGAAGAAGAAACGCCAGAAAAUCAUCAAUAGUAAUAUAUAGCUGAAAUCUCAAGGUCUGUUUAGAUCUUUCCAUCCUGCAAUAAACAUCAACUGCAACAACAAGUAGACUCCACACGAAUCGAAGGGGCGACAUACGGCAGGACGACCGGCACAUCGAACGAUGGAAGAAGAAACGCCAGAAAAUCAUCAACGGUAAUAUAUAGCUGAAAUCUCGAGGUCUGUUUAGAUCUUUCCAUCCUGCAAUAAUUUUGGGUAAAUAUUAGUGCAAUAUCAUAUGAACCACUCUUUUUAAAAUUGUUUUGAAGGCAAUAUCUCUAUGACGUACAUGAAGUUGAGUGAGUUAACCGCAAGAGGACAGACAUGGAAUAUUAAAGCCAAAGUAAUGAGAAUGUGGGACUCGACCAACCCUUUGACUGAUGAACUUAUAAGCAUCAAUAUGAUCUUGAUGGAUGAGCAGGUAUUUUCUUCACAUAAUCAACAAUGGGAUUGUUUUACUGUUAAAACUACUACUAAGAUUUUUCUUCAUUAAAUUCUGAAGGGCCAUACAGUUCAUGCUGCUAUCUGGAAGAAUCUAAUUGACACUACAGAGCAAAGAUCAACGAGGGUUUUAUACAUGCUUUUAGCAAUUUUUAAGUUGUAGAUUCGACAAAAUAUCAGCCAGUCAACAAUGAAAUUAAAAUUAUCUUUUUAUACAAUACAAAAUUAAAGGAGAUGAAAGGUUCAUCGGAUAAUUUUCCAGAUUACUACUUCAAGUUUGCUGGCAAAGAUACCCUAAAAGAACGGCUAGAAAAAGACCAACAAUGCUCAGGUAUGUUGAUAGUCAUAUUCUUACUUCCAAGUGGUAAAUUUAAAUUUGAAGUCAUUUGUUGGUAGUUGUAUUAAUAGACUCCAAAUUAAUAACUUCCUAAUUUUUAAGUCUUCAAUCUUCAAAUUUGCAGAUGUCAUUGGGUUACUUACCAAGAUUAAGCCAAUAGAAUUAAGGAUAACAAAGAAGAAAACACCUUCAGAUAUACGUGAGAUUGAAAUUCUAAUGUCAGAGUAAGUGUAUAUCCAUGCCUCGAUUUUUCACUGAAGGGUAAAGACUAUUUUCCUCCACUUAUAUUAUUAUUACCAUUAAUUAUUCAGGGGUGAUAAAAAUCAGAGUAUCAUUAUGGGGAACAUUAGCUCACCAUUUAAGUGAGAAUGUAAUAUGCAAUGAAACAAUUAUUAUUGUUACCUCAACAAUGGUGCAAAAAUUCAACGGUAAGUUCAAUAUGUUUACACGUCAUUUUUUAUACCAAAAUAAUCUAUAUCUAUAUCUAUACCUACUAAUAAACCAAGGUGAUAUUCUUGGUUUCGUCCCGCAUUAGAUAUUUUUUUCCAUUAGUUUUGAUCGACAGUACGUUCAAUUGCGAGGUGGUACUAAAUUUUUUGGUCCGCAUCCACAUCCUCUCAAUGGGCCUGCACGCACGUUCCGGCGUGCACGCACGUUUAGGUACCUUACCUGAUUUUCACACGUACUCACAAUAAUCCCACCUCGAUUGCUUUCAUGAAAUCCUACCAAUUUAUAUACAUACGCAAAUUGCCUGUAAUAUCAAAAACUAGCCUCUUGGAUCAAGAAACACAGAACGAGUAAAGAGAAAGAGAGAAGGGAGGGGUCAGACAUGACCGGUAGUCCGGCGCACGGGGCUCCCGGAGCAAGGCAAGGGACGGAGAUGGCUGAAGAAAAGGGAGGCAGUUCGGUGCGAACGGAAAAGGGCUUCAGCGGCCGCCCGAGAUGGCGUCGCCGGGAGGAGGAAGCGGAGGCGGAGAUGGCCGGAGGAGGUAGGGCAGGGCAGACCGGCAGCGCGCGGGCUCCCGCUCUCUUUGUGAGCGUGUCUGGCGGCGCUGGGAUUGGGAGGAUAGGAUCGAGGGAGUUGUUGGGGAUCGGGGGGAUAGGUUAAACUUAUUGGGCCGGCCUGGCCGGUUGGUCCUUUCCCUCUCCCGUCAUUACAGAAAUUAGGAAAAGAGGCAAUGAUGAAAAAAAUAGGUAGCUAGGUUGCAUGAAAAAAAUAUGAAACUUUUCUUGUGGUGUGCAUGAUUUAUACUUAGGUCCACAAAAGAAGUUUCACCGAAAUUGGAGAAUUUUGGAAAAAGUUUUGGGGGCCAAACUUGUAAUUGAAAAUGCAAAGGAUUUUGGAGAAGGUUGGAAUGGAAAUUGGAAAAGAAAUUAAAUAAAAUACAAGGAAAGCUCAAAUGAUUUUCCAAAAAUGUCCAUAGUUUUAAUUUGGUGUGAAAUAUUCAAUCAUGAUGAAAUGUAAAAAUAAAAUAAAAUAAACAUUAUAAUGACGACAGAAUUGGUCUCGGUUUGUUACAACUCCGAUCUUAUGUUAUCUUCUUACGGAGGUUCAAUCUAUUCAUGAGAAUUCGUUAUUUUCAAUAAUCUUCUAAGAAACUGGCAGCUAAAUUUGAUAACAAAACUUUAUUUUUGAUAUAUAAUUUUUUGAAUAACAAGUUAGAGGGAAAUAGCAUCGAUUUUCAUAAAAAAUAUUAUGCAACUCACACAAAAAAUUACAUAUAUAAAAAAAGGGUAGUAUAAUUAUAUACACCACUUGACCUAAUAUUGGAAAUUAGCAUAACACUAAAACCGAUUAUGUAAUAUUUGUUCUCUUUUCUCUAUUUCCACAUAUCAACAAAAAUCGUUGAUAAGGAUCAGGUAGGGCAAGGAAUGGGAAAAAGGGUGUGUGAUACUACUCAGUCUCAUUUUUAUAUUAUGGGACAUAGGGAGUAAUCUUUUUUUCCCGUUGCAACGCACUGGCCCAUGUGCUAGUAAAUCUAAUAGAUUUAUUGCUUAUUAAAUAGGUUUGUGCCUAAAGUCAACUAGCGCCACAAGAUUAUAUACCAAUCUAGAUAUACCCGAGACUUGGGAACUUCGUGGCAGGUAUUAAGCACAAUUUGUAGGUACUGGUGAUAUAGAAGUUCAUAAUAUAUCUUCAUUUACUAACUUUUACUUAUAGCCACUCCGCCGAAGAAACUCUACCAAAAAUGAUGGAGAUAGAUAAAAGUACUCAAGGUACACUGGAAGAUCAAAUGUUUUACAGAAGGAUAACCUUAAAAGAACUUACUGGAAUCAAGCACGACAACCCAACAGAUGAGGUAAUGAAUCAGAACUCUUCUAAGAUAUGAUAUUGUAGAAGCCUCCAAGACCUACAGAUGUAUUUGACAUAUUUGUAUGAGUGACUGCAUAUUCUUUAAAGUGCUAUAUUUUCUUCAUCAACUUUAAGUACUUUGUGUUCACAACAAUACUACAAUUGAUCGGUUACAAGAAAAUAUCCAAUGGUGGUACAUGUCAUCCAAUGUUUGCAACAAAAUUUCUAUGAAAGAACCGCAUACUUAUUAUUGCAAGAAUUGUGAUGCGUAUCCAGAAGGUGUAACACCUAGGUAAGCAUAUUCUCUUUAUUUGACCAUCAUUAUGUACUAUUACAUUUGCGUUACACUAAUGAAAUGUGAUUCUAGGCAUCGCAUUCGACUUCAAAUUAUCACAGUGCCACUACAAGUUGCACUUUAUUUGAUGAAGAGGUUGAAAGAAUGCUCGAUAUGUCAGUCUCAUUCCUGUUGGAUUCCUUAGAUGGAAAGUCUGAAGAAGUCCCAAAUAUUAUACAAGAAUUAUGUGGAGAAAGACCUAUCUUUGGAUUCAAACUCAACAAUAAGAACCUCACUCUAGGCAUGCAGAACUAUGCAGUAAAGGAAAUAUUCGUGCCUGAUGAGAAGCUUGAGAAGCGACACUUAGAGGAUAAAGCUAAAGAGGUAAUGGUCUAUCAAACUAUCAAAUCUAUUUAAACACCAAUUAUUAUACUCUCUUAUAUUGAACUAUUGAAGCAAGUAUUUACAGUUCUUGAACCAUUGUGCUCAACAGGAUUUGAUGGAUGAUGAAGUGGACAACAUGUUAAAACAAGAAACAAAAAAAAACUGAAUGAGCCAGUUAGAAAGGUGGUUGAAUACUUCACCGUCCGAACUUUUCUUUUCAUAAAUUCAUCCGUUAAUGUGAUUUUUGUAGGUACAAAUUAGCAAAUGUGAUCUUAACAAAAACGCAUGUUAGUUGGUCCCUGUGUAAGAGGAGCUAGAAGUUAAAAGAAAUGGGAGUACAGUACAUCAGAAGGAGCAUCAACAUAAAAAGUCAUCAACAAGUGUCGAUGGCGGGAAAAGGAGGUGAAGAUCGGUUGUAUUAUCAGACCCGGAAGAUGAAGAAAAUGAAAAAUGUAAAUCUGAAAAAGCAGGGCCCAAAAAUACCAGAAGUGUUCAUGCAAAAAACAAAAAGAUAAAAGUUGAACAUGAAGACUCAGAUGUUCGUAACACCAAGGAUAAAAGUAUCGUCAAUGCAGGCACAAGGAUGACACGAAGUUCGUCUAAAAGGUCUAACAACAUCAAGACCAAAGGUACUGAUGUAAAAUUUGAGGACACAAGUCGUCAACUGGAAGGUCAAGUACGCCAAACAAGACCCAAGAGACGAAGAACCUUUGCCAGUAACUUUUUGGGACAGUAGUUUAUCCACAGAAAUAAGCCAGAGUAUAUGCUCAUAAGAAAGGAGUAGAUGUUGUUUACUUAGUGAACUCUGUGAAUACAACAUAUUCAACAUUUUUAUAUAUGAUAUGAUCGAUAUGUAUGAACAAUAUGACAUUUUGUUUUUAAACAAUUCAAGUAUUGUAUACUAUUCAGAAGAGAGAAUGAGCAGUACAUUCAUUUUUAAUCAAUUUAACUGUUAAGCAACAUUCAGAAGAUUAGCAUUGCAUUUGUGUGGUUGGUCAAAGCUCUGAUGUGCUACAACAUUUGCUACAACUACAAUGUACUAGCAUGGCCUAGAAUAUAUGAGAAUAAAUGCUCAGCAAUUUUAAAAAGAUUGAGUUGGAAAUCCAUCUGGAAUACUAUAGAAAAAUAAAAUAAUCAAAAUCAUAGCUUGACUGCGAAUUGAUCCAUAUGAAGCCACAAUGAAAUUUAAAACGGUCGAAAGACGAAUUGAGCUUUUCUCUAGGGUGUAUAUUAUUAUGUCACGAACAAGCGUAUGAUGGUGACUGCAGACCAAAAGCUUAAUUUAUUUUCUCACUAACCCAACCAAAAAUUUUUCACACAAAAAUGUAUUUGUGGUAGACGCAUAGCUAGCUGAACUGGUCCUAGACUAGGCAACAUAGUUCAAGGCCAAACCUGCGCUGCUACGUACGACACUAAUGCACCCAGCUUCCGCUCCUUAGUAUUUGUUGCGCCGCGUUGCUCCACUUAGGCCAGACGGCUACUUGGUUCACUUCGCGGCAGCUCGCCUGUGCCGGCGUCUCAGUGCGGCCGCGCCACCGCCUGCCUUCCUUGGCGCAAGAUAUUCAACAGAUCCAGCGAGAAUCUUAUCCCAGCAGGUAGCCGGAAGCUAAUCGGAAGCGAUUUGCUCAUGCCGAAGAAUAUCAUUGUGUGGAAGAGGAACAGUCCAUUGAUACGAAGUCUAAUGAAUAGUCCUUAAAUCUCAAUCUCUAUUGUAUCAGCUCCAUGAAAAAGUGCCUGCAGCAUGGAGAUUUAAAUAUCUUCUUUACUAAAUCAUGAGCGUGGAAGUGGCAUGGAGAUUUUACCCAACAAUUUCUAGUCUUGGAAGAAAUUUAACUCAGGUAAGAUGCAGAAAAAAUUAGGGAUUUUACCUGUGCAGGCUCCCCCAAAUCCAUUGGGCAAUAGAGGUCGGGAGAGACGCCGCGACGUACAUCUUCCCUCCGCUUAAGCUAUGGUUGACGGCGGUACGCCGCUACGAGCAGCCAGCGACGGGCGCAUGCGCUGGUGCUGCCUCAUCAGAAAAGAAGGGGAUAAGAGCUGCGCUAGAGCCCCAUAGGGAAAACAUCUUGGUGACCAUUUACAAAGUUGAGGCAGAGCUAAAAAAACGACCAAAAAUAGCAGUCAAAGCGCACGCUAAAUUUUGGUCCACUCUAGGAACAAGGUCUAGCCGGUCCCAAGCCCAGGUGAAGGAGGAGGGUUGUGAUAGACUUGGUGAGCCAACGUAAAAAUUCAG